rnacentral:rRNA from 1 species
CCUACGGGAGGCAGCAGUGAGGAAUAUUGGGCAAUGGGCGGAAGCCUGAACCAGCCAAGUAGCGUGCAGGAUGACGGCCCUACGGGUUGUAAACUGCUUUUAUACGGGAAUAACGCGCCUUACGUGUAGGUCCUUGCAUGUACCGUAUGAAUAAGGACCGGCUAAUUCCGUGCCAGCAGCCGCGGUAAUACGGAAGGUCCGUGCGUUAUCCGGAUUUAUUGGGUUUAAAGGGUGCUCAGGCGGAAGAUCAAGUCAGCGGUAAAAUUGAGAGGCUCAACCUCUUCGAGCAGUUGAAACUGGAUUUCUUGAGUGAGCAAGAGGUAUGCGGAAGGCGAGGUGUAGCGGUGAAAUGCAUAGAUAUAACGCAGAACUCCGGUUGCGAAGGCAGCAUACCGGCGCUCAACUGACGCUCAUGCACGAAAGUGUGGGUAUCGAACAGGAUUAGAUACCCUAGUAGUC